CCCACAUGUUGGAAAAACAACCCUGGGGGCCGAAUAAAUGAGAAAGAGGCCUUGGGAGAGACAUGCUCUGCCUUACUGAUAACCAAAGAUACACUGAGCGAACUGGCAAAGGGAACGUGAAACACCAAGACUGCUAGAGUUGUGUGUUGCAGUCCAUACUUCCAGUCCAAAGAGAGGACAAGGCCUACCGAACUUUUGGAAACUCAAGCUUUUCUUUUAGAACAAUUUGCUCAAAACAUACGAAGAAGAGGCAGCAAAUUAAAAAAAGGAACUGAUCCCCUGA